GACGAACGCUGGCGGCGUGCUUAACACAUGCAAGUCGAACGGAAAGGCCCUGCUUUUGUGGGGUGCUCGAGUGGCGAACGGGUGAGUAACACGUGAGUAACCUGCCCUUGACUUUGGGAUAACUUCAGGAAACUGGGGCUAUUACCGGAUAGGAGCUCCUGCUGCAUGGUGGGGGUUGGAAAGUUUCGGCGGUUGGGGAUGGACUCGCGGCUUAUCGGCUUGUUGGGGGGGUAGUGGCUUACCAAGGCUUUGACGGGUAGCCGGCCUGAGAGGGUGACCGGCCACAUUGGGACUGAGAUACGGCCCAGACGCCUACGGGAGGCAGCAGUGGGGAAUAUUGCACAAUGGGCGGAAGCCUGAUGCAGCAACGCCGCGUGCGGGAUGACGGCCUUCGGGUUGUAAACCGCUUUCGCCUGUGACGAAGCGUGAGUGACGGUAAUGGGUAAAGAAGCACCGGCUAACUACGUG
rnacentral:rRNA from 1 species